AGAGGUUGCACGCUCAUUAACUUUAUUAUUAAGCUGACUCGUCAUGGUCUGAGCAGUUGUCAUUGGUAUAAGUCAGGAGGUCCCCUCCUUCAUAAUCUCCAACUGGAAAGAAGUUUAUAAUAAUCAAUCAAAUAUUUCGGCGAUUUACUCAUCAAAACAUGAACUUUCUCUGUUCACAAAUUAAAGGUUUUUUUUCUCCUCACAAUUGAGAAUUAACAAACACAAAACUUAGCACAGCUCAGCCAUCAAACUCCAUAGGAAUUUAUUUGCAGAAGAAUGUAAUGCCACCCCAUUAUACAUUUUUGACAUCAUCUUCCACAGUAACCAUUGAAGAACUAACACUAUACCCAAUUCAGAAUUUGUCCAUCAGCUUCUAUACUACUUCGGUCCUACUUAUUUAAUGGGUUCAAGGCGCACUUCGGAGAAAAUAGUUACAGGGGCUUAAAGCUAAAGCAAAUAUAAUGAAUAGCUUCUAGAAAGGGCACACAAAUUCGGCACUUUCUAAGACCAGAAUGCAAAACUUGCAUAUAUUUUAAACGAAGGAAACCUAUUGAAUUCAAUUUCAGAAAUAGAAGUCCUUUCUUUACAACAGGCACCAGCAAAUGAUUCAAUUUAGCACUAUUCAAUUGAGAUCACCAACAUCGAAAAGCCGUAAGAGAAACUAAAGCAUAUGGAGAAGGCAGAAACAAACAAAUCAAGAACAGAAACUAAAGCAGAAAAACAAGUAAAUAUAAACGGUGAGAUACCACACCAAAUAAAAGGGUCAGAGGGUAUGAUCGAGAAUCCGAGCUCGAAGACAGCCGAACAAAGUAGGGCAUGCAGGCGGCGCACGCCCGAAAGGGAGGUUGAUUUGCCGAUGGCGGUGAAGGAUUAAUUUUGACAAAUUCCGGGAACGAAAUGCAGGAGAAUUAUAUAUUUUAUUUUCUUUCGUUAGAAAUGAAAUACUUGUAAAUGUUACUCAUACUAGUAGUUAGUUGUCGAGGAAUUGUCGAGAAACCCCUCAAGACUUAAA
rnacentral:lncRNA from 1 species